GCCUCCUUAGCUCAGCGGAUUAGAGCGUCUGGCUUCGGACCAGAAGGUCGUAGGUUCGAAUCCUACAGGGGGCACCA
rnacentral:tRNA from 1 species